ACAUGGCUACAAAAUAGCGUUAAUGCACUAAAUCCCAUUAGAACUUCAUAGUUAAGCACACUCAGGCUAGAGUAGUAUUGGGAUGGGUGACCUCCCGAGAAGUCAUAGUGUUUCACAUGCC
rnacentral:rRNA from 1 species